AUACGGAGGGUGCAAGCGUUGUUCGGAAUCACUGGGCGUAAAGGGCGCGCAGGCGGUUUGGUAAGUCAGAUGUGAAAGCCCAUGGCUCAACCAUGGAAGUGCAUUUGAAACUGUCAGACUUGAGUACUAGAGGGGAAAGUGGAAUUCCCGGUGUAGAGGUGAAAUUCGUAGAUAUCGGGAGGAAUACCGGUGGCGAAGGCGACUUUCUGGCUAGAUACUGACGCUGAGGCGCGAAAGCGUGGGGAGCAAACAGGAUUAGAAACCCCAGUAGUCC
rnacentral:rRNA from 1 species